GAGACUUCAGAAGCCAGAAGAGCCUGUAAAUAGGGACUUCAAGGCAUUCAUGAAAAAAAGCAUAGCAGGUGUACAGUAAUAGAGACGAAAAGAGAAAGAACUCACUACAGCCAUAGGGGUAGCUCUGGAUCAGCACCAGGGCAGGGGACAUGGGCAUGGAUGAGACAGGGGCAAAAAUACCAGAGGCGGAGGAAGUUCAAACCAGCCUCAGACUAAGUUGGGGCUGAAGCAAUGUGCAUCUUGUAAGAAAGAAGGACACUGGAAACUCCAGUGGCGCAGGGCUCAGAGCAGCAUUCGUGGCCUGGCCCACACGUUCCUUGUCUGUGUCACACCCUGGGCAGGUUUAGGAUGGCCACCAGCCGGGCCGUGUCCCAAGGAGGCCGUGCCAGCUUCUGUGCAAGGCCCCGUGCCCUUCCUGCUGCGGCUGCGUCGGCAGCCCUGGGGGCUCCUUCUGCUGCCCUGAGCCUGCAGAGCAGGGCAGCGUUUGCUGCUGGUUUGAGGCGUUCCUAAAUAUCCCGUCGGGGAUAUUUAGGAACGCCUCAAACCAGCAGCAAACGCUUGACGCAGUUCUGCCGGAGCCCAGGCUAGCUCAGAGAAACACACCAGCAGCCACGUCAGGUGUGUGGAACUACCUUGGUUUAUCAGUGCCAAAGGCAGAAGCUUUGAGCCUUGUGCUCGGGUACAAACAAACAGCCAAUGGGGAAUCCAGGAGGAAGUAGCGAAGGGAGGGCGUUCCAAUGCAGGAAGCAUCAGGGAUGAGGGGGAAUAGAGGACCGGUCAUGCAGGCCAAUGAGGCCUCGAGGCUUAGGGGGUUGACAGGGAAGGAUCCAGAACAAAGGGCAGGCUUUACAAUGAUGGACAAGGGGUAGGGGCAGGGUUGUGGUGACAGGCAGGGAAGGCUUGGGAAUAAGGAGCUGGCUUUACAAUGAAGGGCAGAUCAGGGGAGGAUACAACUCCUAGGGGCAAACCAACUUUGGAUGAACAGGGGGGAGCAGAAGAGUGAACCAUAGAACUGACAAACUUCCAACAACAACUAAACUUAAACAAUUGCCGCAACACUGUCUUUGACACUUUGGGCAAGAGAUUCCUUCCAAUCGAGGCCACUUUGAGGGGGGAUAGGGGAUGGGGGGAGAACUAGGGCACGUGGCAGUGUUUGCAAGGGCCCUUUGUGACAUGGUCAGCGUGGGAUGGAAAGGGACAGGGUGUCAGAGGGCCCUUUGUGACACGUGGUGACAGAGGAGCUGGCCACAGCGACAGGUCCACGCCACAGUGCUCGGUGCACGCGACGGGACAGGACGCGCCAGAGCGGUGCUGUGAGGAGCCCCCGCACAGCGCACUCGUUUGUGUCUGACCCGGAGCUUCUCUGAGCCGUCAUUCUUGCAGGUGACCUCGAGGCCAGACCACAGGACUUGGUGACCUGUGGCCUUGCCGAGGCUUCUUUUCUUAAGGUGCCCUCGAGGGCAGACUGUGGGACCUGGUGAGCCGGUGCUUUUCCGAGGCAUCGCCCAUCCCUGCAGUCACUGCCCUUGAGACCAGGGCACAAUCCUUGACGAGGAGCCUCCUGUCCUUGUGGCAGGAGCCCUCAAGACCCGAGUGCAGGACUUGCUGUUCUGCAGUCUUGCCGGGACUUGAGUCUUGCAGGUGCCUUCCAGGCACGACUGCAGGACUUGCUGCCUCAGAGCUUUUCUGAGGCAUCUCUAUUGCAAGUACCAUAAAUCCAGGCACUGCCAUGGAGCAGCGACCUCCAAGAAUUCCCAAGCUGGCCUGGGUGGAGGAGGAGGAGAAGGAGGAAGAAGAAGGCCCUGGAGCUGCCCCAGAUGUAGAGACGGAAGAGGUGCAGGAGUUCCAGCCGCUGGAGGAGGGAUGGGAGAGUGUUGGAGAUCUGG